rnacentral:rRNA from 1 species
AUGCGCACUAGCGACAGCGGCACGUCGUCGUCUCUCAGCGGUGGGGGCACCAGGAGCUCGGUGGGCGGGACUAUGCGCAAGAUCACCGCCUACUUCGGUGAGGCCCUAGCCCGCCGCGUCUUCCGCUUCUGCCCACAGCCGAACAGCUCCCUCCUCGACGCUGCCUUCGUCGACCUCCUCCACGCACACUUCUAUGAGUCGUGUCCCUACCUCAAGUUUGCCCACUUUACCGCGCAUCAGGCUAUCCUGGAGGCGUUCGCGACUAUCGUCGCGUCCACGUCGUCGACUUCGUCAUCAAGUAGGGGAUGUAGUGACCCCAUAUGCAGAAUGUAA